rnacentral:rRNA from 1 species
GAUGAACGCUGGCGGCGUGCCUAAUACAUGCAAGUCGAGCGAACAGACGAGGAGCUUGCUCCUCUGACGUUAGCGGCGGACGGGUGAGUAACACGUGGAUAACCUACCUAUAAGACUGGGAUAACUUCGGGAAACCGGAGCUAAUACCGGAUAAUAUAUUGAACCGCAUAGUUCAAUAGUGAAAGACGGUUUUGCUGUCACUUAUAGAUGGAUCCGCGCCGCAUUAGCUAGUUGGUAAGGUAACGGCUUACUAAGGCGACGAUGCGUAGCCGACCUGAGAGGGUGAUCGGCCACACUGAACUGAGACACGGUCCAGACUCCUACGGGAGGCAGCAGUAGGGAAUCUUCCGCAAUGGGCGAAAGCCUGACGGAGCAACGCCGCGUGAGUGAUGAAGGUCUUCGGAUCGUAAAACUCUGUUAUUAGGGAAGAACAAAUGUGUAAGUAACUAUGCACGUCUUGACGGUACCUAAUCAGAAAGCCACGGCUAACUACGUG